rnacentral:rRNA from 1 species
UACAGAGGUCUCAAGCGUUGUUCGGAUUCAUUGGGCGUAAAGGGUGCGUAGGUGGCGUGGUAAGUCGGAUGUGAAAUCCCGGGGCUCAACCCCGGAACUGCAUUCGAUACUGCCAUGCUAGAGUACUGGAGAGGAGAUUGGAAUUUACGGUGUAGCAGUGAAAUGCGUAGAUAUCGUAAGGAAGACCAGUGGCGAAGGCGGCUCUCUGGGGUAUUUCUGACGCUGAGGCACGAAAGCCAGGGGAGCGAACGGG